rnacentral:rRNA from 1 species
AGAGUUUGAUCAUGGCUCAGGAUGAACGCUAGCGGCAGGCUUAAUACAUGCAAGUCGAGGGGCAGCAUGAGUAGCAAUACUUGAUGGCGACCGGCAAACGGGUGCGGAACACGUACGCAACCUUCCUUUAAGUGGAGAAUAGCUCCCGGAAACGGGAAUUAAUACUCCGUAAUAUUAUGAAGUGGCAUCACUUUAUAAUUAUAGAUUUAUCGCUUAAAGAUGGGCGUGCGCCUGAUUAGGUAGUUGGCGGGGUAACGGCCCACCAAGCCUUCGAUCAGUAACUGGUGUGAGAGCACGACCAGUCACACGGGCACUGAGACACGGGCCCGACUCCUACGGGAGGCAGCAGUAAGGAAUAUUGGUCAAUGGACGCAAGUCUGAACCAGCCAUGCCGCGUGGAGGAUGAAGGUCCUCUGGAUUGUAAACUUCUUUUAUUUGGGAAGAAAUGCAUUUUUUCUAAAGUGCUUGACGGUACCAGAUGAAUAAGCACCGGCUAACUCCGUGCCAGCAGCCGCGGUAAUACGGAGGGUGCAAGCGUUAUCCGGAUUUACUGGGUUUAAAGGGUGCGCAGGCGGAUAUGUAAGUCAGUGGUGAAAUCUUUGGGCUUAACCCGAAAAUUGCCAUUGAUACUAUAUAUCUUGAAUGCUGUGGAGGUAAGCGGAAUAUGUCAUGUAGCGGUGAAAUGCUUAGAUAUGACAUAGAACACCUAUUGCGAAGGCAGCUUACUACGCAGAUAUUGACGCUCAUGCACGAAAGCGUGGGGAUCAAACAGGAUUAGAUACCCUAGUAGUCC